rnacentral:rRNA from 1 species
AUUGAACGCUGGCGGCAUGCCUUACACAUGCAAGUCGAACGGCAGCACGGGGCAACCUGGUGGCGAGUGGCGAACGGGUGAGUAAUGCAUCGGAACGUACCUUUCAGUGGGGGGUAACGUAGCGAAAGUUACGCUAAUACCGCAUAUUCUGUGAGCAGGAAAGCAGGGGAUCGCAAGACCUUGCGCUGAUUGAGCGGCCGAUGUCAGAUUAGCUAGUUGGUGAGGUAAAGGCCUACCAAGGCGACGAUCCGUAGCUGGUCUGAGAGGACGACCAGCCACACUGGGACUAAGACACGGCCCAGACUCCUACGGGAGGCAGCAGUGGGGAAUUUUGGACAAUGGGCGCAAGCCUGAUCCAGCCAUGCCGCGUGAGUGAAGAAGGCCUUCGGGUUGUAAAGCUCUUUCGCAAGGAAAGAAAUCCUAUCCGCUAAUACCGGGUGGGGAUGACGGUACCUUGAUAAGAAGCACCGGCUAACUUCGUGCCAGCAGCCGCCGUAACAC